AUUGAACGCUGGCGGAAUGCUUUACACAUGCAAGUCGAACGGCAGCACGGACUUCGGUCUGGUGGCGAGUGGCGAACGGGUGAGUAAUGUAUCGGAACGUGCCCAGUCGUGGGGGAUAACGUAGUGAAAAUUACGCUAAUACCGCAUACGAUCUAUGAAUGAAAGCGGGGGAUCGAAAGACCUCGCGCGAUUGGAGCGGCCGAUAUCAGAUUAGGUAGUUGGUGGGGUAAAGGCCCACCAAGCCAACGAUCUGUAGCUGGUCUGAGAGGACGACCAGCCACACUGGAACUGAGACACGGUCCAGACUCCUACGGGAGGCAGCAGUGGGGAAUUUUGGACAAUGGGCGAAAGCCUGAUCCAGCCAUUCCGCGUGCAGGAUGAAGGCCCUCGGGUUGUAAACUGCUUUUGUACAGAACGAAAAGGUUUCUACUAAUACUAGGAGCUCAUGACGGUACUCUAAGAAUAAGCACCGGCUAACUACGUGCCAGCAGCCGCCGUAA
rnacentral:rRNA from 1 species